rnacentral:misc_RNA from 1 species
UUUAAAGUGAAUUUAUUCAGAACGAAGUACUCUUGUAAGAAUAGAAUCCUGCUGGAGAAUUUCUGUGCUCUUGUAGCCUUGGAUGUGGUAAUGGUAUGAUUAUUAACAAAAUUUCAGAUACCCAAAAAAGAAUAACAUCACCAUGGUUUUGAGUAAUGGUAACAUGUAUUUUUGUUCUAUUAUCAUGUUUCAUCAUUGAAAUUCAUAUAACUCUCUAAAAAAGAAAUUUAAUUAGUAUAAUUCUGUCGUUAUAAUCCUAAAUUAAACAU